CAGUCGCCGCGGGAAUACGAAGGGUGCAAGCGUUAAUCGGAAUUACUGGGCGUAAAGCGUGCGUAGGCGGUGAGUUAAGUCCGUUGUGAAAGCCCUGGGCUCAACCUGGGAAUUGCAGUGGAUACUGGGUCACUAGAGUGUGGUAGAGGAUAGUGGAAUUUCCGGUGUAGCAGUGAAAUGCGUAGAGAUCGGAAGGAACAUCUGUGGCGAAGGCGACUAUCUGGGACAACACUGACGCUGAGGCACGAAAGCGUGGGAAGCAAACAGGAUUAGAUACCCCAGUAGUCCCUGUCUCUUAUAA
rnacentral:rRNA from 1 species